CUGCCUGGUUGCUUCUCCUUCUUCUUUUCUUUUCUCUGACCCUCUGGCUCCUGACUGCACUUCCAGGAGAGACUCCGGACCAGGUUCAUCGCUUGCCCUUCCUUGGGCUGUAACCGGCUCUGGAUUGUGCCCUUAUGGGUGAGAUCUGCCCUGUGCUGAGGACAUCCUCUGCUCCUGGCCCCUGUUCCCUGGGGAGCAGCCAGACUUUGCACUGUGCUCACAGGAGCUGAGAAGCUCUCUGUUGGAAUUACCUGAGAAGUGGAAGGAUCUUCAAAAGAUUGCCUUCGCUGUAAAGCGUGAAGUGGCGCCUCCGCAGCCCAAUGGAGUGUCUGUUAUCAGAAGCAAACGUGUACUUUUGGAGUAACCAGGAAGUUGGCCAGCUGCCUUUCACAUGGGGUUCAGAAGUCAGACUGAGAUGCAUGUGCUAGACUGCCAAAAUCCAACCAGGACAGCACUGCAGAACCAUGGACACCAGCUACCUGUGCCAAACAUGCUUCUGAAGGGAUGCCACCAGUUGACAGAGGGAUGGAAUCAAUUUCAUCUUGAUGUCGUUGACAGCAAAUGUAAUUCUGACACUGCUGAGAUUAGCGAAAGGUUGACGUGGACUUCAGUGUGGUGAAGAUUUCAAUACACAGUAAUUUGAAGGAGUUUUUAAGAGUCACUUAAAGACGCACUUCCUCAGAUAAAAAGAAGGCCAACAACAACUCACAAAGUCUAAGUCAGUGCUUUGGAUCACUGACUU